GACCCGGUGGUGAAAAAUGUUAUCACACCCAUUCCCUAUAGAGCAGCCAAGUGUUGGUUGAGAUGGGAGUCCCUUGUUCGAACCAAGGCUGGGUCA